GCUUGUCUCAAAGAUUAAGCCAUGCAUGUCUAAGUAUAGUACCUUAUACUGCGAAACUGCGAAUGGCUCAUUAAAUCAGUUAUAAUUCAUUUGAUGGUACUUACUACUCGGAUAACCGUAGUAAUUCUAGAGCUAAUACAUGCGUCAAAACCCAACUUCUGGGAGGGUUGUAUUUAUUAGAUGGAAACCAAUGCGGGGCAACCCGGUAUAUGGUGAUUCAUAAUAACUUUCGGAUCGAUCUUCGGAUCGAUGCAUCAUUCAAGUUUCUGCCCUAUCAGCUUUGGAUGGUAGGGUAUUGGCCUACCAUGGCUUUAACGGGUAACGGAGAAUUAGGGUUCGAUUCCGGAGAGGGAGCCUGAGAAAUGGCUACCACAUCCAAGGAAGGCAGCAGG
rnacentral:rRNA from 1 species